AAUCAACGCUGGCGGCGUGCCUCAGACAUGCAAGUCGAACGAUUAAGACUUCCUUCGGGAAGUGCAUAAAGUGGCGCACGGGUGAGUAACACGUAAGUAAUCUACCCUCGAGUGGGGAAUAACGUUCGGAAACGGACGCUAAUACCGCAUAACGCAGCGGCACCGCAAGGUGACAGUUGUUAAAGGAGCAAUCCGCUUGAGGAGGAGCUUGCGGCAGAUUAGCUAGUUGGUAAGGUAAUGGCUUACCAAGGCUACGAUCUGUAUCCGGUCUAAGAGGACGGUCGGACACACUGACACUGAAUAACGGGUCAGACUCCUACGGGAGGCAGCAGUCGGGAAUUUUGGGCAAUGGGCGAAAGCCUGACCCAGCAACGCCGCGUGAAGGAUGAAGUAUUUCGGUAUGUAAACUUCGAAAGAAUAGGAAGAAUAAAUGACGGUACUAUUUUAUAAGCUCCGGCUAACUACGUGCCAGCAGCCGCGGUAAGGUGACGCUCU
rnacentral:rRNA from 1 species